GCGAAUAGCUCAGCUGGUUAGAGUGUCGGCCUCACAUGCCGAAGGUCACAGGUUCGAACCCUGUUUCGCC
rnacentral:tRNA from 1 species